GUGGAUUAGAUACCCUGGUAGUCCACGCCCUAAACGAUGUCAACUAGGUGUUGGAGGAGCAAUCCUUUGGUACCGCAGCUAACGCGUGAAGUUGACCGCCUGGGGAGUACGGUCGCAAGAUUAAAACUCAAAGGAAUUGACGGGGACCCGCACAAGCGGUGGAUGAUGUGGAUUAAUUCGAUGCAACGCGAACAACCUUACCUACCCUUGACAUGUCCGGAAGCCUGCUGAAAGGCGGGGGUGCCCGAAAGGGAACCGGAACACAGGUGCUGCACGGCUGUCGACAGCU
rnacentral:rRNA from 1 species